GUAAGCUGUCAAUUUGGAAAAAUGAAUGAUUUGGAAGACUAAUAUCAUGCAUUUGUAUUCCUUACAUAUCAAUGAUUUCUAAUUUUAUGUUGUAGGUUAACAGGUUUGGCAAGAUGGCAUGAGAAAUCUACAUUGGUGAUAUGGGUGGUUCAGUUUUGAUUGUCCUUGGUACAAUGAAAGGUUUGAUUGUGUCAUUGAUGUGAAAAAUUUUACAAGUGCAUAGUGAGUGGAACAAAGAUUACCAUUACAGAUGCUAAUGUUCCAUGAUUUCAUGCUAAAUAUGCUACCGAGAUUAUAAUGAAGGGUCUAGAAGGGGCAUGAUUAUAUGUAUCCUAUCCAUUGUGUUACCAAUUUUUUUUGUUUUUGAUGGAUUGUUGUCUUACAAUAUUGUACUCCAAAGUUGUAUUUUGGAAGAGUCCCAAUGUAUAUGUUUUUUUAGGAACAUAUUUGUAUUACACCUCAGUAUUAGUUGUAAGAGGUCAUCCAUUUUAUAACUUUUUUUUUUUAUCGAGUAGCCCGAGUAUGCUUCUUAAAGAUAGAAAUCAUAUAGUGCUCAAUGAGCAUUGUGAAUCUA